UGGCGAACGGGUGAGUAACACGUGGGCAAUCUGCCCUUCACUCUGGGACAAGCCCUGGAAACGGGGUCUAAUACCGGAUACGACACGGGGUCGCAUGAUCUCCGUGUGGAAAGCUCCGGCGGUGAAGGAUGAGCCCGCGGCCUAUCAGCUAGUUGGUGAGGUGAUGGCUCACCAAGGCGACGACGGGUAGCCGGCCUGAGAGGGCGACCGGCCACACUGGGACUGAGACACGGCCCAGACUCCUACGGGAGGCAGCAGUGGGGAAUAUUGCACAAUGGGCGAAAGCCUGAUGCAGCGACGCCGCGUGAGGGAUGACGGCCUUCGGGUUGUAAACCUCUUUCAGCAGGGAAGAAGCGAAAGUGACGGUACCUGCAGAAGAAGCGCCGGCUAACUACGUGCCAGCAGCCGCGGUAAUACGUAGGGCGCAAGCGUUGUCCGGAAUUAUUGGGCGUAAAGAGCUCGUAGGCGGCUUGUCACGUCGGUUGUGAAAGCCCGGGGCUUAACCCCGGGUCUGCAGUCGAUACGGGCAGGCUAGAGUGUGGUAGGGGAGAUCGGAAUUCCUGGUGUAGCGGUGAAAUGCGCAGAUAUCAGGAGGAACACCGGUGGCGAAGGCGGAUCUCUGGGCCAUUACUGACGCUGAGGAGCGAAAGCGUGGGGAGCGAACAGGAUUAGAUACCCUGGUAGUCCACGCCGUAAACGGUGGGAACUAGGUGUUGGCGACAUUCCACGUCGUCGGUGCCGCAGCUAACG
rnacentral:rRNA from 1 species